GCGUAGAUUAGCCAUGCACGUGCAUGUUCACACCAUUUUUUAGUGAGACUGCGGACGGCUCAGUAAAUCGGUUAUAAUCUGUUCGAAAGUGACCCCAUUGGAUAACCGUGGGAAAUCUAGAGCUAAUACAUGCGCAAAUGGCGUGUGCAGCAAUGUAUGCGCCUGCAUUUAUUGGACAAAACCAAGUGUUGGACGGGCAACCGUCGAGCAGGGUGAAUCUAGAUAACUGAGCAGAUUGCUGUGCCUCGAGCCGGCAAUGUUUCGAUUGAAUUUCCGCCCUAUCAACUGUUGAUGGUAAGGUAGUGGCUUACCAUGGUCGCAACGGGUAACGGGGAAUCAGGGUUCGAUUCCGGAGAGGGAGCCUGAGAAACGGCUACCACAUCCCAGGGAGGCAGCAGGCGCGCAAAUUACCCAAUCCAGGCAAUGGGAGGUGGCAACCAGAAGUACUGGGCGCUGGGCGAAUGCUCAGUGUCCCGGAAUGAGCAUAAAGUAAAGAGUUUGUCGAGUAACGACUGGAGGGCAAGUCUGGUGCCAGCAGCCGCGGUAAUUCCAGCUCCAGUAGCAUGUCGUAAAGUUGUUGCGUUUAAAACGCUCGUAGUCGGAUCAUGAAGCACUACCUAGUUAGCCGACGUUGGCCACGUAAAACUGUUACGUGUUUACGGCUCCGUUAGUUCGGGGUUGUGAGUGCGUGAUGGUGUGGUUGACCCGGUGAUUGCUAGGUGGUGCUCGUUGCGUGCAAGAAUAGCGAUUGGCCUUAAGUGUGUUGGUCGUUGUGUCUUGCAGAGUGUGCCUUGAAUAAAUCAUAGUGCUUAAGCACUACCUGAGUGAUACAGCAUGGAACGAACAAUCGUGUUGCGUGUGAUAUCAUACGGUAAUACUGUGUUGAUGCUGACACAUCACCAACCGCACAGUACGGAUGUUGGUUUCCGUAAUGGGGCGAUGAUUAAAACGAGCGCGUGGGGGGGAUUGGUAUUUGGCGCGAGAUGUGAAAUUCUUGACCUGCCCUACGUACUAAAAAAGCGAAUGGAAUUUUGCCCAAGGACCGUCUCGAUUGAUCAAGGACGGAUAGUGGGGAGGUUUCGAAGAUGAUC
rnacentral:rRNA from 1 species